rnacentral:lncRNA from 1 species
UCGAAACGAUAAUAUGGAAAGACUCAUUUCGGCUAAAGGGGUGUUAUAGGUAAAACUUCAUUGAUUUUAAUUUAAAUGAUGCAUAUGAUUUUAAAUUAUGCAACAACAAUAUUAAACCCUCAAUAGCAGGCAGACAUAGAAAGAAUCCAAUGAGUUUCAAAUUAAUUAAUAAGCGGGGAAUCCAGAACAACCACUCAAUCUGAUACCCCUUGAAAUCAAGAAAACUAUACGCAUGCGCAUUAAUACAUAAACAAACCCGCGACUUGCGAUUUGGAACAAGAACGUUUAUUUAAUUUGAUAUGAUGAAUGAGUCUCAAUUUCUUUAUGAGAG